rnacentral:rRNA from 1 species
CCCUUAGAUGUUCUGGGCCGCACGCGUGCUACACUGAGUGGAUCAGCGGGUCAGGUUGCGCGAAAGUGUUUCCUAAUCUUCAAAUCCGCUCGUGAUGGGGAUUGACGGUUGCAAUUUUCCGUCAUGAACGAGGAAUACCUUGUAAGCGCGGGUCAUCAUCCCGCGCUGAAUACGUCCCUGCCCUUUGUACACACCGCCCGUCGCUCCUACCGAUUGAGUGGUCCGGUGAGGCUUUGGGAUCUGAGCGGAAAGAGCGUUUCGCUGUUUCUGCCCGGAAAACUCAGUCGAACCUUAUCAUUUAGAGGAAGGAGAAGUCGUAACA